UACGGAGGGUGCGAGCGUUGUCCGGAUUUAUUGGGUUUAAAGGGUGCGUAGGUGGGUUAAUAAGUCAGUGGUGAAAUACAGCCGCUCAACGGUUGAGGUGCCAUUGAUACUGUUAACCUUGAAAGAAUUGGAGGCUGCCGGAAUGGAUGGUGUAGCGGUGAAAUGCAUAGAUAUCAUCCAGAACACCGAUUGCGAAGGCAGGUGGCUACGAUUUAUUUGACACUGAGGCACGAAAGCAUGGGGAGCAAACAGG
rnacentral:rRNA from 1 species